rnacentral:rRNA from 1 species
AUUAGGAAUCUUGCGCAAUGGGGGCAACCCUGACGCAGCGACGCCGCGUGCGGGAUGACGGCCUUCGGGCUGUAAACCGCUUUUGAAGGGGAAGAAAACAAUGACGGUACCCUUCGAAUAAGCCCCGGCUAACUACGUGCCAGCAGCCGCGGUAAUACGUAGGGGGCGAGCGUUGUCCGAAGUUACUGGGCGUAAAGCGCGCGUAGGCGGUUUUCUAAGUCUGGCGUGAAAGGUUCAGGGCUCAACCCGAACAGUGCGCUGGAGACUGGAGAGCUUGAGGACGGGAGAGGGAAGCGGAAUUCCGGGUGUAGCGGUGAAAUGCGUAGAUAUCCGGAGGAACACCGAUGGCGAAGGCAGCUUCCUGGCCCGUAUCUGACGCUGAGGUGCGAAAGCGUGGGGAGCGAACGG